ACGGGUGAGUAACACGUAAGUAAUCUACCUUCGAGUGGGGAAUAACAGUCGGAAACGACUGCUAAUACCGCAUAAUGCAGCGGCAUCGCAAGAUGACAGUUGUUAAAGAUUUAUCGCUUGAAGAGGAGCUUGCGGCAGAUUAGCUAGUUGGUAAGGUAAUGGCUUACCAAGGCUACGAUCUGUAACCGGUCUAAGAGGACGGUCGGUCACACUGACACUGAAUAACGGGUCAGACUCCUACGGGAGGCAGCAGUCGGGAAUUUUGGGCAAUGGGGGAAACCCUGACCCAGCAACGCCGCGUGAAGGAUGAAGUAUUUCGGUAUGUAAACUUCGAAAGAAUAGGAAGAAUUAAUGACGGUACUAUUUAUAAGGUCCGGCUAACUACGUGCCAGCAGCCGCGGUAAUACGUAGGGACCAAGCGUUGUUCGGAUUUACUGGGCGUAAAGGGCGCGUAGGCGGCGUGGUAAGUCACUUGUGAAAUCUCUGAGCUUAACUCAGAACGGCCAAGUGAUACUGCUGUGCUAGAGUGCAGAAGGGGCAAUCGGAAUUCUUGGUGUAGCGGUGAAAUGCGUAGA
rnacentral:rRNA from 1 species